ACCCCCUUCCUUAAAAUUAAUAGAAUUUACCAAACUAAGUGAAAUCAGUCUUCAUGAGAAAGUGACAAAUCAGUGUUCACACAAUGGCAUAGUAGCUGGGCAUAGAGUGUACGUCAACAUCCCAAACUAAUCACCCAUCACAAUUAUUCUCAACUCGCAGGAAAGCUAGAAAAAUUAGAAGGCUUAAAACAUAAUUAUAAAUGAAAAUAACAAGAAACCAAAGUUUCUAAGGAGCAUUUGUUAGCCAAGCAAGGAAAGCCAUUAACCAGUGCUGAUUACAUUGCAUUUGAUUACAGCAGCCAAAGACGUGUCCAGAGGAAGAGACUUUUAAACAUUAGUCUUUCAGUAAUAAUGGUUGCUUAACAAGUUCAGACUACUGGGCUACACCAAUGAUCAAUUGAAAAGCAAGGCAAACGAGUGAGAGUCAUUUUCCUUAACCCUUAAUGUGUCAAAAAUUACCACAUUGGUCAAGCUGGUCUCCAACUCCUGACCUCAGGUGAUCCACCCACCCCGGCCUCCCAAAGCGCUGGGAUUACAGGCAUGAGCCACCACGCCUGGCUGAGAAGUGUUUGACAGAGGCUGAGGGGAGGCUCCUGUCCCUUCCUGGGACAUCCACAUCCCACUCAGUUUCCCAUAUCGACUAUGACACUCGAAGCAUCACAGCAAGGGCAGCUGCAUCCCUGCAGUUCUCUGCACUAAUGCCACAGUUGCGUGAGCAGCCACAGCCCUGGAGCUGCCACUCAGCCUUAUCGUGCUGGCACAAGCACAGCAGGAACUACUA